CCGUACCCAUCAGAGGGGGAUAACACUUGGAAACAGGUGCUAAUACCGCAUAACAGUUUAUGCCGCAUGGCAUAAGAGUGAAAGGCGCUUUCGGGUGUCGCUGAUGGAUGGACCCGCAGUGCAUUAGCUAGUUGGUGAGGUAACGGCUCACCAAGGCCACGAUGCAUAGCCGACCUGAGAGGGUGAUCGGCCACACUGGGACUGAGACACGGUCCAG
rnacentral:rRNA from 1 species